CUUUCUCUGACUUGUUUCACUUAGGAUGAUAAUCUCUAGGUCCAUUCUAAGAUACCUUUCAAUGUGCCUAUUGAAGCGACAAGAUAAAUGCUGUUGGGAAUAUGCUGUUGGCAUGCAUUGAGGAAGGCAGGGCAUGUGACUGGGUCACCUUGCUAUACAGUAGAAAAUUGACAGAACCCUGUAAACCAGCUAUAAUGGAAAAAAAUAAAAAUGAUUAACAAUAAAAAAGAAUAAAACUCGAAAAAAUAGUUAAAAAAAAAGAAGAGAAAGUCAUGGCACUUGGGUCAGAUAGGCCAGUUCUCCCACCAUGUAAUUUGAUGUUUUAAAUGUUGACAUAUCUUUUCACCAACAAAGAAAUUAUGGGGUAGUCUAGACAGAGAAAUCACUCAACUCUUAAGUGUAGGAUACAGAGAGAGGACAGAAUCUUAGCAGUGAAAUAUCUUAGCAGUGUCUGGGUCCUUCCAGGUACUUUUGUGUAUAUGCAUAGAAUUUUCGCUGUAAAAGACGUAACUUGCCGUAAGUGUUCUUUCGUGUGUGCAAACUUGUGCAGGUGAUGAUGGAGUAAAAGUGUGGUGGCUCUAGUGUAUGUUGCUUUGAAUCAAAUUUUUUUAACCCUAAUAACCUAAUGAACCUCCUUUCCUGACUUGGCUAGGAAAUAACUGGGCUAAAAAUUUAUUUUCAGAAAGUCUAAAGAAAGAUAGCUAGUUACCUACUGGAGUUGGCCCCACCGAUCGCAUAAUUUGCCGUAAUGACUGGUUACUAGGUUCAGGGUGGGAUUUCUAGAGAGUGAGUUACUGAGGAGGCAGGACUAGAGCAUGAUCCAUUCUUUUUUUUAUGCCUUUUACUGUCACUAAGAAAAAUGCUGGUUAUUGCAAAGUGUCUGGAUAUGUUAAUCUUUUUCUGCAGGCUUUAUGUUGUCAUGAGUGUACCCCCCAAUUCCUAGAGAGGAAAGAAAGGACAAAGCUGAGUGAUAAGCUAGCCGGUGGGAGUGGUUCAGUGGGCCAGAGUUUUUUUUGGUGUUUCUAGAAUUUGCCUCCCGCUAAGGAAAUCACAGUAUGUGGCAUAUAAGUAGGGCAAAGGAUUCACUACUCAGCACUUAAAUCAGCAAGUCACCAUAACUGGCAUCACUGUGACAGCUGUAAGGAAACUUCAGAGGAUUUUCUGUGAGUGAGAAGAGCUGGACACGUUGUCUCCCAGCUGGUGUAAGCUAUUUUGCCCACAUUCUGAAGGCUAUUCAGCUGACUUUUAAGAUGCUCCUGGGCCAUCCCAGUUUCCAUAAUGACUCUUGCUGUUUGCAACUAGCUAAACUGAUUUUAUUAUGAUUUGUCAAAGAUGAACUGAGAGAUGGUGUAGCCCAAAACUAAGAAAAUAGCCAUAAAAUGAAUAGGGAUUUGUGAAUGUUAAAAAAAAAAAAAAGGGAAAACAGGCAUAAAGUGAAAGUGGGAAAAAAAAUCUUGAAUGGGUACAAUUGUGGCCUAACCAGGAAUGAAAAUGGAUACAGAGUAGAAUGAAAGGGAUAAAAAUAGGAACACAGUUGGUUAGAGCAGAAAAAAAAAAUGUGAGCAGUCAAAACAGAUCAAUGCAAAUAAAGGUCUUCGAACCUAUUAUGUUUUUAAACUUGAGAGUGAUAAAUGUAUUGAAUGUCCUUUAUUUUAAGGACCUUUUCCCAAAGGACAGAAUUCCAAAGUGAGGUCUGCCUUUACAGUCUAUUUCAGCCUUUUUCACACAGUGUCAGAAGAAGGAUGCAGCAAAAGGUGAUAGUAUUAUAAUUCCCAACAUGGCAGUAGUAAAGUUAGAUCCUGCUGACUAGAGUGGUUCACUUCCAGAGGUCUGUGGUGUCUCAUAAAACAGCUGGCAUUGCCUGAAAGAGUAGUAUUGUUGGUAGGUAAGGCAGUGUCCCCGGGGCUGGGACUUGGCCAGCAUCUCACAUAACAAACAUGCUGCUGAUCCGCUUCUGUUUGUUUUCCCAGACAGAAAUGAUUGCAACACAUUUCAGGGCCAGUGCAAAAAUUUUGCCUUUUUGCAUUGUGUGUUUUAACUUGCUCUCAAGAGUGAGAUGUUCGAAAUUUGCUAAACUGGACAACAAUAUACAACUUAAAACAAAAACAAAACCCAGUCAAAACUCAACUGGCCAAGAGAUUAUUUAAUUAUUACUUUUGUAAAGUGAUUAUUGGUUUGGGUUUUUUUUUUGGUGGGGGGUAGGGGUGCGGGGGAAACCUUGGGGUAUUACCAAAGGAGAAAAAAAUUCCAUACUUCAGUAAAUUCUUUCUUUCACCAGGCAGUUCUGAUUUAGGGGGACACAUACUAGAUUAAGCUUCAAAACACUUGGAUGUUAACUGUGCUACUUGGGGCAAAUCAUUUAAUCUCCCUGAGCUCCAGUUCAUUUAUAAAAUGAUGAUAGCAAUACUCCACUGACUACUGCACAGUAUGAUUAAAAUGACUAAAUAAGAUAUUAAAGCAUUUAUCGAUGUGCAAGGCAUGAUACGGGUGUGGGGUCUGUAGGGGUCAUCUUCGUUGUCCUUGAGGUGCUGGAGAAGUAGGGAAGACCCCACACCAGUUCUGUCUCCUCACCCCAGGUCUGAGAGGCUGGAGGGAGAGACAGGGUGGAUCUUGAGUGGAUACCUCCCCUUUCUCCAUUAAUAUGCAGAGAAAAAUAAUUUUCAGUCCUUUACCCCCUCUGUGAAGAGCCUUUUCCUCUAAGUGUUAGAGAAACUCAUUGACUAUCUGGGCUCUUUUCCAGUUCUGCUAUUUAUCUAGACCUGUGUUGUAGCCACUAGUGACCGAAGGUUCUUGAACUCUUAAAAUAUGGCUGAUCAGAACUGUUUGGAGGAGUUCCUGUUGCGGCUCAGUGGUAGUGAAUCCAACUAGUAUCCAAGGGGAGGCGGGUUUGAUCCCUGGCUUCGAUCAGUUGGAUCUGUCCUUGCUGUGAGCUGUGGUGUAGGGUGAAGAUCUUGGAUCCUUUGUUGCUGUGGCUGUGGUGUAGGCUUACAGCUACAGCUCUGAUUCCACCUGUAGCCUGGGAACUUUGACAUGCCACACGUGGGUGGCCCUAAAAAGCAAAAAAAAAAAACCCAAACAAACAAAAACAAAAACAAAAACAAACAAACAAAAAACUACUGUUUGGAGGAGUUCUCCUUGUGGCACAGCAGAAACAAAUCUGACUAGUAACCAUGAGGUUUCGGGUUCAAUCCCUGGCCUCACUCAGUGGGUUAAGGAUCUGGUGUUGCCAUGAGCUGCGGUGUAAGCCAAAAAUGGGGCUGAGAUCCUGCGUUACUGAGGCUGUGGUAUAUAGGCCGGCAGCUAUAGAACUGAUUCAGCCACUGGCCUGGGAACCUCCAUAUACCUUGGGUGCGGCCCUAAAAGAGCAAAAAACAAAAAACAAACAAAAAAAUAAAAAACACUGUUUGGAGACAAUAGUCCAAAAAAAGGAAGUAUCUUAAUAUUUUAACAUUGAUUAUGUGACAUGUUGUUAUACUAAUAUUCUAGACACAUUUGGUUAAAAUAUAUUAAAAAAAGUUUUAUCUCUUUCCUUUGACUUUUCAAAAUGUGGCUACUUGGAGUUCUCCGGUGGCUUGGUGGGCUAGGGAUCUGAUGUUUCAUUGCUGUGGCAUGAGUUCGAUCCCUGGCUCAGGAAUGUCCACACGCCAUAAGCGUGGCCCAAAAGCGUGGAAAAAAAAAAAAGAAUGUAAAAUAUGGCUACUAUAAAGUUUAUAAUUCCAUAUAUGGCUCCCUUUGUUUUUCUGUUGGCUAAUACUAAUCCAGACAGUCCGAGGGGAAAGAAAGACAUGAGUCCUGAUGACCUUAUUUACAUGCCUCUUGCAUUUCUCAGCCUCUUUCCACCCUAGCAUGGGGCUCUCUUUCCUAAUCAGUCCUGUGCUUAGGGAGCCAGUUCAUCUGAGAAAAACAUGAUGAAAUCAAAGAAAGAUCAAUAUAAUAAGGCCAUUCCUUCUCCCUGACAGCACAUGGCACAAAGUAGGCACCUAGGAUGCAUGCAUGCAUUCAUUCAUUCAAUCAAACCUUGUAUUUAAUUAAAAUAGAGAAUAGGGAAAUUUGGCAAGCUCAUAUCUUGAAAAUUCACUCUUGUUAAUUCCACAAAGGGAGCAAGAAUAUGACUGGGUUUUGUAUUGUCCUGUGUCCAAGUCACUUAUUAAAAUCUUAUUUUAUAAGAGGGUGUUUACCUGCAUCUCUCAUCUCCCUUCUGAAGGUCCAGAUGUGUUGAAGUCAGGGAAUGUGUUUUACACAUCUUGCUUCAUACCUAACAGGUGCAACAGCCUGUAUUGUUGAAUAUUAUAGGUAAAGUAAAAAAUAUAAUGAGUCUAUUAAUUUGUCUUUCAGACUGAAAUGAAAAUUUGAACUAAAAUGCUGUAUAAUUAAUUUGAUGUUGAUGAUAUAUGCAUGUUUUAAAAUGUGGCUUAAGAUACAUUGAAUCAUUUUUUAUUUGUCAGAAAAAUGAAAUGCACCAUUUAAGAGUGGAAAAAGUCUUCCCUGAUUAAAUCUUGGUUGAAGAAGAAAUAUUUACUCCUAAAGGACAAUCCCCACCCACUUUUGUUAUCUCAGCAACAGACUAAAAAUUGUCACAGGGACAAACUGACAAACCCUGUAUGAAAUAGAAGAACAAUAAAAGAACAAACAUCCCAUUAACCUGGCAGAUUGGGAAUGAAGGCUCAGCAGGGGAAUGGAGCAGGUCGGAGGUGGGGAACAGCCAGACAGCGCAGCCAAUUCACAACGGGUUCUGGCCCCCACAAAUCCCCAGAGCCCAAACUGCCUCCACCAACGAGGAAGGGAGGCUUGGGGGAGGGGCUGGGCUCGGCUGCAGGGAUCAAAGAGAAGCAGGGGCAACAGCCAGCGCUGCGUCUGCUCUUUGAGCAAAGAUAAUGGAAUCCUCUCUGGGGUGAAGAGAAUGAACACACAGAGAGAUUUAAAAACACAACAAACCCAGAGCUGAUUGGAUUCCUUUAUUCCAUACCUCAAACUCAUCAGGCUUGUCCUCAAUUCAAAAUCUCCCUAUAUUGAUUUCAGGGUUAAAAAACAAUAAAAGGGUGUCCUGUUGAGUGCUUUGCAAACCGUGGGCUGCACCUUCUUAGUGUGUGAAAUCAAUUCAGUGGGUGGAGAUUUGUAUUUAAAAAAUGAGAUAAAAUAGAAUGGAAAGUAGAAGGAUUUGCAUGUACUAGGGAUAAAUAUUGCUUUAUAAAAUUUUUGUUGUGUGUGUUCAUGUGUAUUCCCUCGCACGUGUGUGUGUGUGUGUGUGUGUAUGUGUGUGUGUGUGUGUGUGUGUUUGGUAUCAGUAAAAUGAAUUUUUUAUGAUCUCAGUCAAACCAUAGAACUCAGUGAAAACUGAUCUAGUCUAUCCCCCUGCCUUAUUGUUGAGGAAUAUGAAAUCAGUUCUAGAAAUGAAGCCUUCAGGAGUAGAGAUUUCAUAAUCUCCACGACUAAUCCUCAGUCGAGGAGUUCUUGCAUUCCACAAAGGUAGAAAAUGUCACAGACUCCAAGCAUCCCCUCAACAAAAGCAGUCAAGUCGCCAGGAAAUAACUCCAAGAUCAGGCAUUUCAUUCUGAUGAGGCUAAUGCUGUUUGUCAGAAACUGUGGGCAACCUUCCUUUAAAGCCCCCAAUUAAGGAGAAAGAAUGGAAAAAAAAAAUGGUAAUAGCAUGCCUGAAACAUGAGGCUGCCUCUUGGCCACUAUUCAUUAGGGAGCCCACAAACCAUGGACCCUAUUUAAGGAAAGUCUGGGAUGAUUUUGGGGGGAAAUAGAACCUUUCUCCUCUUACUCCCAACUUUGCCCUCAGCGUACUUAUCUCACCUUGAUUUAUUUAUUGACAUUUUAGUCAAAUUUAGCCUGCAGUUUGCUUUAUGAUUUAAAAGCUGUCAAGACUGAAUAGAGAGAGGACCAGCCAGAGAGCAGAACUUGUAUAAAAGAUGCUGGCAAAAUGUGAGGAUAUUCCCUGACGCACCCUAGAAAAACCACCAGUGAUAGAGGGACCUGAUUGAUUUCCAUUUCUAAAUCUCAAGGAAUUAAAAAUAAAACCCGACGUCAACUGAUGCAGCAAGGGCCAUUAAUGGCAGACAUGGUUAAUGUCCCCAAAGCAUGAAGGAGAAUUAAAGGGGGAGAGACUUGUGGGGAAAACAGUUCAAUGAAAGGAGUCCUGCGUAAAGUCGGUUAAAAAUGGAAAGGCAUAUAUCUUCCCACCCAGAAACAAAAGAAUGCAGUAAAAGUUUUUCAAUGGUGUGGCCACUAAAAACACCAUUUAGAGAUGAGCAAACUUCUUUAUCGCCCCAAGAAAUCAGAGUAAACCACCUGAAACCCAAGCUGUAGGAAAUCCUGCUGCUCAGAUGAGGUAUCCACUGUGACACUGAACUAGUGCUAUUACUUUCAGAGAGCAGGAGGCUGCCUGGCUUAACCUUCCUUGGCGUUCCACUCAGAGAAACAGACAUUCCCUCAGCUGUAUCAGAGACAUGGAUUUUAGCGGUAAUUAUGGUCUGCUAAUCUGGCGUAGCCUUAGUCAAAUGGAC
rnacentral:lncRNA from 1 species